rnacentral:rRNA from 1 species
UACGUAGGGGGCAAGCGUUGUCCGGAAUCAUUGGGCGUAAAGAGCGUGUAGGCGGUUCGGUAAGUCGGCUGUGAAAGUCCAGGGCUCAACCCUGGGAUGCCGGUCGAUACUGCCGGACUAGAGUUCGGAAGAGGCGAGUGGAAUUCCCGGUGUAGCGGUGAAAUGUGCAGAUAUCGGGAGGAACACCUAUGGCGAAGGCAGCUCGCUGGGACGUUACUGACGCUGAGACGCGAAAGCGUGGGGAGCAAACAGG